rnacentral:rRNA from 1 species
AUACGUAGGGGGCGAGCGUUGUCCGGAAUGAUUGGGCGUAAAGGGCGCGUAGGCGGCCCGGUAAGUCUGGAGUGAAAGUCCUGUUUUUAAGAUGGGAAUUGCUUUGGAUACUGUCGGGCUUGAGUGCAGGAGAGGUAAGUGGAAUUCCCAGUGUAGCGGUGAAAUGCGUAGAGAUUGGGAGGAACACCAGUGGCGAAGGCGGCUUACUGGACUGUAACUGACGCUGAGGCGCGAAAGUGUGGGGAGCAAACAGGAUUAGAUACCCUGGUAGUCCACACUGUAAACGAUGGAUGCUAGGUGUAGGGGGUAUCGACCCCUUCUGUGCCGCAGUCAACACAAUAAGCAUUCCGCCUGGGGAGUACGGCCGCAAGGUUGAAACUCAAAUGAAUUGACGGGG